rnacentral:rRNA from 1 species
CAUGAACGCUGGCGGCAUGCUUUACACAUGCAAGUCGAACGGUAACAGGCCGCAAGGUGCUGACGAGUGGCGAACGGGUGAGUAAUGCAUCGGAACGUGCCCAGUCGUGGGGGAUAACUGCUCGAAAGAGCAGCUAAUACCGCAUACGAUCUAUGGAUGAAAGCGGGGGACCGUAAGGCCCCGCGCGAUUGGAGCGACCGAUGUCAGAUUAGGUAGUUGGUGGGGUAAAGGCUCACCAAGCCAACGAUCUGUAGCUGGUCUGAGAGGACGACCAGCCACACUGUGACUGAGACACGGCCCAGACUCCUACGGGAGGCAGCAGUGGGGAAUUUUGGACAAUGGGCGCAAGCCUGAUCCAGCCAUGCCGCGUGCAGGAUGAAGGCCUUCGGGUUGUAAACUGCUUUUGUACGGAACGAAAAGACUCUUUCUAAUAAAGAGGGUCCAUGACGGUACCGUAAGAAUAAGCACCGGCUAACUACGUGCCAGCAGCCGCGGUAAUAC